CCCCACUCAGCGUCGCACCUGGAGAGUUUCGAGUACUCUACCAGUCUCGUCUACAGGAGGAAGAGUCAAGCAGUGGCCUACCCAUUCCAUUCCUAGCUUGGCAAAUGGCUAGCGAGUGGAUGACAAUCUGCUACAAGU